GAGUAAAUGCAGAGUCAUCUACUGAGACAGAAACAACCUGGAGAGGAACGGGGAGGAUGUGACUAAGGCUUCUUUUUUGAGAUGCCUGCUAGACAUCAAAAGCGAUAAAAAUGGCACAAUAACAACAGAUAUUUACUUUUGCUCCCUCAUGAAUUCUUACUGAAACUACAGGAUGGACUUAAAGACUUAAGACCAAAAGGAAGAGGAGAAGACAGACCACACACAA